GCUUAUCACCAUUCCAGAUUGAAUAUACCCGAUCUCGUCUGAUCUCGGAAGUCAAGCAAUCUCGGUCUUGGUUAGUACUUGGAUGGGUGACCGCUUGGGAAUACCAAGUG
rnacentral:rRNA from 1 species